rnacentral:lncRNA from 1 species
UAGGCCGCCCGAAUUCCCAUGACCCUUACAUAUCACUGUCCAGAGUAGGCUCCAUGGGAGUAAUGAUCCUGACAUAAAUGCCGGCCAUCCGCCACACUAAGCAAGCAUGGGGGCACAGGAAUAGGAUAUGAUCAACUGUCUCCUCCUCCAACCCACAGGAUAGAUAUGUCGUUAGAAGAUCCAUGCCUCUAGCUCACAGAACCAUCCUAGUCGGGAGCCAGUGCCAAGCUACUUUUUAAAUGAAUAGGCUAAC